rnacentral:lncRNA from 1 species
AGGAAGACGAGAAUCCAAUUCUUUUUCAAUACCGCAUAUAGGCUACGAUCAGCCCCGCGCCCCCGCCUCCUUUUCUCUCUUUGAGUAGGCUAUUCGGUGAACAAUGGCCCGGUGUAAUUACGUAUAGCCUAUAUGAACAUGUAUUCCCUAAUUUAAACGACGUUACAAGUAAAUAAUUUAGUGCUUAACGUUUCGCCUUGCAGUCAAAUACGGCUGCGCAUCUUUGUGGCUCAAUGCCGAAAAAGGCGAUGUUGAUGUCCCGACAGGAACGCUGUCUGUCUGAGAUCCUAUCCGAUUAUUUCAGAAAGAACUAUCAAAAAUCAUCGAGUUUUAUAUGAUGGAACACACCUUUUAGGGGAAGAUUUCGCGCAAGAUUGAAUGCAGAGGUAAAUGUGUUAAUACAGCUUACAUGUAUGCUCUACUGGCAUUAAAUAAUAAGCUUUGUCUUCUUCACUGUCUUUGGUGAUGUGCAAGUAAAUCAUUGGCAACACUAGUUCCAUAUUUAAUUCUACUAAGCAUACAACCUGUUUUUUUGUUUGUUUGUAUGUGUGUGUGUGGGGGGGGGGGCUCUUUGAUCAUAAUUGUAUUUAUUUAACUUAAUUGUAAAAAAGAUAAAUUAAUGAUUUUAUUACAGCAAAAAACAACCAAUGUGACAUUUCAAACCGUUUCCUUAACAUUGGUCCAAGGAAAGGCUGUUGAUUUCUGUCUCUAAAGGAAUUCAUAUCGUUCUGCUUCAAGAUCUCAUGUCAGAAUCCUUUUAGCCAUUUCAUUAACAGUCCAUUGCAAAUGUGAUUUUUCCUGUAUAACUUGAAAUGGUAAUGCCUUGGAUUUAGUCAAGCUACAGGCCUAAAGGCCUAAGACAUCUGUGCUCUCUCUCUCCCUCUCUCUCUCAGACACACACACACACACACACACACACACACACACACACACACACACACACACACACGUACUUACUCUCUCAAUUUGCCUCUGUGUCUCUCCCUCUCUGAUCUUUUCUCAAAUAUUUUACAGUUCCUCUUUGGGAGGCUGAAUUAUGAAUGGCAUCAAUAACUAUAGGUACUAGGAAGGGGGGCAUUUGGGGUGAAUUUCACAAUAGUUAAUACAAUACAAUACAAUACAAUAUCUAACAAUAUCUAGAAACACUU